rnacentral:rRNA from 1 species
UAACGGCGAGUGAAGCGGCAAAAGCUCAAAUUUGAAAUCUGGCCCUUUCAGGGUCCGAGUUGUAAUUUGUAGAGGGUGCUUUGGCGUUGGCUGUGGUCUAAGUUCCUUGGAACAGGACGUCGCAGAGGGUGAGAAUCCCGUAUGUGGCCGCCAGUCUUCGCCGUGUAAAGCCCCUUCGACGAGUCGAGUUGUUUGGGAAUGCAGCUCUAAAUGGGAGGUAAAUUUCUUCUAAAGCUAAAUAUUGGCCAGAGACCGAUAGCGCACAAGUAGAGUGAUCGAAAGAUGAAAAGCACUUUGGAAAGAGAGUCAAAAAGCACGUGAAAUUGUUGAAAGGGAAGCGCUUGCAGCCAGACUUGCCUGUAGUUGCUCAUCCGGGCUUUUGCCCGGUGCACUCUUCUAUGGG